rnacentral:rRNA from 1 species
AUUGAACGCUGGCGGCAGGCCUAACACAUGCAAGUCGAACGAGUGGCGGACGGGUGAGUAAUGUCUGGGAAACUGCCUGAUGGAGGGGGAUAACUACUGGAAACGGUAGCUAAUACCGCAUACCAUCAGAUGUGCCCAGAUGGGAUUAGCUAGUUGGUGGGGAAACGGCUCACCAAGGGGACGAUCCCUAGCUGGUCUGAGAGGAUGACCAGCAACAAUGGAACUGAGAAACGUUCCAGACCCCUACGGGAGGCAGCAGUGGGGAGUAUUGAACAAUGGGCGCAAGCCUGAUGCAGCCAGGCCGGGUGUAUGAAGAAGGCCUUCGGGUUGUAAAGUACUUUCAGCGGGGAGACGUUACCCGCAGAAGAAGCACCGACUAACUCCGUGCCAGCAGCCGCGUAAUAC